UCCAUAUACACGGAAUAUGGUGAAAUUUUGGGAACUUUGUAAUCCAUUAAUAAAAGUGACAAAACCAUAGUAUUAAAUCGAUAUGUUCCAUAUUUGUCUAGAAAAAAAUAGAUUGAAUGCAUUCGCCGUCCGCAUAAUACAACAGUGUAAUGCAUUGAAAGUAGGUCAACUUCGAUAUUGAUUUUCUGUAAACAGCAGAUGCCUAGCACACAAUUUUUUUUAUAUUUGAAAUCAUUUGAUACAUAUCUUCUCUUUCAAUGAAUAAAAAGUUUGGAAAUUUUUAUUUGAAAAAUGUUAUUCACUAAAGUAAAAUCAUCGAAACACGUCAUUAACCGUAUUGUUUAUCUCCCUUGCUUGGUUACCUCUUUUAAAAAAAGGCGCGUAGUCUGCACAACAACAAUAACAAAUGGCAGACGAGUUGGUCCCGCCGACAUGAAGGCAUUCAUUAUAAGUCUGUUUUAACACAUUCAUGUGGGGUUUAAUCCUGUAUGUAAUCAGGACAAAAGUGUACGAAAGCUCGCUGAAUGUAAUAAAGACAUAACGCCGCGGCAUUGACAGAUCUCAGACUGCGUGAAGGUUGCCAGACUACAUGAACCAGCCGUGGACAAUGCCAAUGAAGGAGAGUUGAUAGCACUGAGAUGUGGUAUUUUCAGGUAAAUCAAUAUGCUGACUCUGUCCCCACACUCUGUUUGCACAGUAAGUAAUAUCAUAAAUACCAACAAAGAUAGAACAAGUGAUAACACCCAUGAUACACAUUACAUCAAGUCCUUAUGCCCGGUAUAUAAUUUUUGUUAGGUUUCCAGUUCCACAGGACUAACUACAGUCACAGGGUUUCUUAACUGGAGUCUUAUUGCUUAAUAGGCAGCGCACCCAUCCAUCAAG
rnacentral:lncRNA from 1 species